rnacentral:rRNA from 1 species
UGGGGAAUAUUGCACAAUGGGCGCAAGCCUGAUGCAGCCAUGCCGCGUGUGUGAAGAAGGCCUUCGGGUUGUAAAGCACUUUCAGCGAGGAGGAAGGUGGUGAACUUAAUACGUUCAUCAAUUGACGUUACUCGCAGAAGAAGCACCGGCUAACUCCGUGCCAGCAGCCGCGGUAAUACGGAGGGUGCAAGCGUUAAUCGGAAUUACUGGGCGUAAAGCGCACGCAGGCGGUUUGUUAAGUCAGAUGUGAAAUCCCCGGGCUCAACCUGGGAACUGCAUUUGAAACUGGCAAGCUAGAGUCUCGUAGAGGGGGGUAGAAUUCCAGGUGUAGCGGUGAAAUGCGUAGAGAUCUGGAGGAAUACCGGUGGCGAAGGCGGCCCCCUGGACGAAGACUGACGCUCAGGUGCGAAAGCGUGGGGAGCGAACAGGAUUAGAUACCCUGGUAGUCCACGCUGUAAAACGAUGUCGAUUUGGAGGUUGUGCCCUUGAGGCGUGGCUUCCGGAGCUAACGCGUUAAAUCGACCGCCU